UGGAACCAGCUGAAAUGUGCACAGAUGGUUGGCUAGAAGUUAAAUUAGGUCUCUGCUGGCCAGUUUGUUUAAUUAUAUCUGUGAUUGAGGAGAUGCUGCUCAUUCCUAAAAUAUGUAGCAGUGUGUGCCUCUGUACCCAGCACAACUGUCUGCCUACCCUGGGCUGGCAGGGUAGAUCUUGAAACAAGUUGGCACUCUGCUUAUUCCAGAAUAGCUUCUUCCAUGGAGGCUAGGUUUUUACUGAGCGUCAGGAAAAAGCUAAACUAAACAACUAAAGCUUUGAAACAGCUAAGUAUUUGCGAAGUAUUUUUCUUGAAUGUGGGUUAAUAUCAGAGCAGACUUAUUUUGUAUGAUUGUCCAUUUAUCUUCUGAUUUUAAAAAAAGGAUCAGAAAUAUCAGUUCCCUAGGCACUUCAGUCAACUAACUUAAAGCAUAACAAAUCUGGACAAUAAGCACCAUAAUUAGUGUAGGAAGAAAACUGCUACUCCCAAGUAUCUAAUUCAAUAACUAUGAAGAACUAAUGAUUAAUAAUUGUACCAUUGCAUCUGUGGCAUGAUUGCCCUUCAGCACUUUUAAAACACAAAACCAAAAGCCUCGAAGCACGUCCUGGGGGUCAGGCCAUCUUUUUUGAGUCAGUGAGACAAAAACACAGAAAAAGUGCAAAAUCAUUUUGUUAUUUAUUCAGAAUUGGGCCAGCAAAUUUCAGCUGUCACGCUGCAUCUGGUAGCCAGAGGCAGUCUCCUGGUUGGCGGAUCUCAUAGAGCAUGGACCAAGAAUUGCACCUUGGAAACCUGCAGGUAGCUCCUACAUGCUAUGGAACCUAUGCAAAAUGUGUUAAUGAUCACUUGCUCUGCUUCAGAUUCUGCGUAAAUUCUGUCUGGGUUGCUGUCUCGUCCUGUUUCAUUUUGAAGAUGAAUAUAUGCCCCCUCUUAAGAUUUGUAGCAAGCUGACCAAACACUGUCUGAAGAAGAAAAUGCAGGCAAGUUAAUGUGUAAUAUGAAGAAUUGUCAUAUUGCUUACAAAAAACACGCAUGAGAGACUAAGCAUAUGGGAUCAGCAGUAGAGGAAAGAACAUCAUGUACACUAAGAGGUAUAGCUGUACCGCUGACACAAAAUCAUUUAUGUCAUAUCACCCAGGCUAGCACUAUAACAGCCAGGACUCAGUCAUGCUCCUGAUUUUUGCAACAAUAAAUGGCAUUUCAGAUUUCGAGUUUAUUUUCCAUCAUGAUCAUGAUAGACAGCUCUAAGUAAGGGCACAAAUCCAUCUUGCCAAUGUCAGUAGACACUGAACUGAUACAGUAUGCCUAAAGGUAGAGAUUUCCCAGAGGUUAGCUGUGGGGCGCACUCCACUCCAAUAUCAGUCAGUGCACCAAAGUGAAUCAAGGGUACUAUAUUGCUGUUAAAUUAUUGAAUUUUCAACUGAAUAAAUUAAUUCUUUUUUUUUUUCCCACUAGAAGGUUGCUAUCUAUUAUUAAAUUAGUUCUGUAUUCAAAUUCUGCUUUGCAGAAACACUGUUUGAACGUAAUAGGGAAAUGGACUCCUGUGCAAUCUAUAAAACUCUUCUUAGUUUUACUGGAUGGAAAAUAUUAUAAAAAUGUAAACGAUUAAUCGUUUCUCAUCAUAUACCCUGUUUUUUUUUUAUUAUAAGCAAGUGGCUUAAAUAUUUAGAGUGCAGAAUUAAUAGGCUGGAGCAUACUAAAAUAUUGUCACAUACUUGACAAUUCUAGAAACAAAGAAGUUGCUGCUAUGUUUAAAAUAUUAAGUAUAUAUUUUAUAGCUGAAAUUAGUGCUUUUCAAAGUAACAGAUUUUCAUAUUUAAUCAAUAGGAGAACAUAACUUUAUCUGGAAAGAGUAUGUUUUAAGAACUGUGUCGCUUUACUCUGAGCAUUACAUCAUUUACAGAAAUAUUGCAUGAUUGAAGAUUCUUUUAAAAAAUGCAAUUUUUCUAAUAGUUUAAUCAAUUUUGGUUGAUGUCUGUUCUCAAAAACCACAGAAGCGUUGAGAGCCGUUAUGGUAAAAUAUUAAUAAGAAUGCUUUCAAUCUACUGUGCAUAGACAAGAACUGUUAGCUCGAGAGGAAGCUGUCAAAACUGUGACGUAGUACAAGUGGUAGCUAAACAAAAAAGGGAGUGCUAAACAAAACUAUAUGCAAAGCAGAACUGAAUUGACAAUUCUAUAACGGUCUCUGUGUGCAUGAAAGCCAAACUGAAAGUUAUGGAUGAAAUUUAAAAUAGCAGAUCUGGGACUGUUGUAACUGUUGUGCUGAGCUACUAUCGUAAACGUUUCAUUCAGUUCAGCCUUCCAGGGUACCACAUGAUGAAGUUUAGGUGCUCUUACUGCAUUCAAAGCUGCACUCUCACCUAGGUCGAUUACUCUUGGCAAUGUUGCCAAGUCUUGUCGAAUCCUAAAAGGGAGCAGCAGGUUUAGGGAAGAUGAAGUGUUAGAUGUGAGUAACUCCAGUGGAUAUUGGUGGAUUUAGAGUUUUUUGUGAAAUGUAAAAGGAAUGUGGAGUGAUAUCAUGUCUCAUGAUUCAUGUGACUGUGAAGAAAUGAGCAAGAGAACAAGGUGCACAAAAAUUUGAAUGUGUAUGCAUCAGAUGACAAAUAAGGCAACCCUCUGUUGCUACUCAGAUUCACUGCUCGUCUGUAGUUCAGUAAAAUACUUAGCACAAACAUUGAAAAGCUUGAUAAAUUUGGAAUUUUUGGACCUUUUACUAUUCCUGUACUAUUAAAACUUUACAGAGAUUGGGUUAAAUUCAGCUCUACUCCUCCGCCACCUUAUAUAUAUGUUUUAUGCUAACUCCUUGAUUUGUCAACAAAUUUUGAGGCCUCAUUGUACUGUGUUAGAUAAUGACUACACACCAUUCUGUGCGAUAAAGAGUUUGAGAUGACAAAGCUUUGGAAGGGGAAAUAGAGAUGAAUGGCUUGUCCAGUGUUGUUCAGGAGACUGCACUUUUGUCCAGGUACUCUGUAGCUUGUAUGAUUGGGUUGUGUGUUAAUUACUUAAUAAAUUCCAACUCUGUGCACUGGAAAAAAGCUUUGGCCACUUCAGCAAAAAAUACUGAAUCCGUAUAAAAAACUCUACAGUUUCUAAUAAGAUUUUAAGUUGACGAGUUAGCUUUGUACCAGCUAGUUUAUGCUGAAUGGACAAUAUCUUGCAAUAUCUUGUCCUUCGUAGCCAGAAUAAAGUUCAGAAUAAAGUCUAAAGCCAGCCUGAAUUUCAGGAUUUCUGCAUUCGGUGACUUGAAAAAUGCAACUGUAUAAUGCAUAGUUCAGAUCCACAAAAUUCUUCUUACAGGCAAUAAUUAGUGGAGAGCACUUUAAGCACUUUGUACACAAUGGAUAGCAAUUUCAGUUUUCCGUGUAUAUUGUAAUUUUAUGAAAAUAGUUUUGAACUAAAAUCAUGACAUUCUUAUAAGCAAGUAUUGCCUCAAGUAGCAUGAGAAAUGACAGAAUUAAAUUUAAAAUGUUUUGAAGCAAAAAUCCCAAUAUAGUAAUGGAGAAAAAAGCAGUUCAGAAAAGGCAAGAAAAGCAGUGCGCAAAGGUCACUGAUAUGUUUUGGUUUAAAAAUAACUUGCCCUUUUUUGAGCACAAGGAGAAAGGAAGGCAGUAUAAAGGCAUGUUAUGUCACUGGUUUGACUUAUGGCAUGGUCACAGACAACAGCAUGAGUGCAACUUGUGCCUGUGGCAAACUACAGCUUGUUUCAGGAGAGGCCUGGGCUGGUACUUCUGACAAAGUUCUGUGUAAUCACUGUCAUGGACUGGCUGCUGCAGCAAUGUGGGUAAGGCAGGGGCCAAUGGUUUGAUUUCACCAUCUCUAAUUAUCAUGAGAUCCUCCAAGAAUGCUUUAAAGUGACUGAUUCAUGAAUAUGGAGGUGUGACUAGUGUCCAAGUACGAUCUCAGUUUAGCUUUGAAAAUUGUGUAGCUGCAGCUGCCAGGGAAAUGGCUGUGAACGUGCUUACUGUGCAUCUUGAAAUGAUAAACUGGAAGAAAAAUAAAGGAUUCAUUUUAAGGCCACUGUGAAAUCCUGAUGCUUAUGACACACAGUAAUUUCUAGAAGCAUUGAAUUUUGCUUCAGUACUAAUAUACUAUUCUGUGAAACUUAACACCUUGAAGAAUUGGUUGUGUCCUAGUUGCCCUUGUCACAUUUCCUUUCUUAGUAUAAUUUAGCUAAGCAGUCUAGCUUCUAAUUUUCUUUUGUUUCAAAUAGAAGUGUGAAUGUCCUCCAAGAUAUGAUUGAAUGGGUCUCCCAUGCAGGAGAGAUAAGAGGCCUGGCUACAUCCACCUUAUCUGGAGGAAUAAGUCUUCUUCGCAAAAGAACUAAGGCUUCAUGCAGUAAGAUCUUGCAAAAUAAAACACAGAUUCACUAGAAGUGAGAGGCUGCUGGUUUUGAUGGAAAUAACAAGAAACCUGAAGUGAAGGGUUGGGAAAAUGGGAGAGGACCACACUGAGUAAACUUGGAACUAAAUUUGUAGUGACUAUUAGCUGUAAACAAGCAACUGGCUCCAGUCCCAUGCUGUCAGAAGUCUGUAGUAUGUUUUACCUUAGUCAGCAUAAAUCAGCUGCCUGGUCAAGUUCAUUAAAAAUAGAUUUAAAGCCUAUUAUAAAUGUUCUGCAUCUCACACACAGAAUCUUAAAGAAUACUAAAGGAUCCUGCUGAAAUCUUGGGCAUUUAUUUCAUAGAAACUGGAUGGAUGUUGACUGCUGGCUGCUGGAUGCUCUGUGAUGAACAGUAAAUGGCUUGGAUUAAGAAGUGGCUAAAAAUUAUAAUUGAUGUGUGAGGAAAAAUAACUAGUUAAGUUUUUAAUAACACCAAUGGAAACAGUGCAGCAUUCCAGAGAACAGCUUUGGAAGCUGCCAGAAUCCAACAUACCAAUACCUUGUGUGGGCCUUUCCACUUGAAGGGCGGCAAACUGGUGAAAGUUGCCCACAGCUUUAGAGCAAAUCUUUGAAGUCUUACUGCCACAGAAUCUCAACACCAAAUCUGCAGUUUAAAUGUUUAAUUUAGUUUGAAAGCUAUCUGAUUUUCAUCAAUCACCAAGCAACAGAAAUAAAAGUGCAUUCUGUCAUUUCUUUAUCAAUUAUCCAUGAGAGAAGUGGGAAGUGCCAUCCCUACAGCAAAUUACCUUGCAGAGUUUGCAAGAUGUACAUGUAAUUAAAGCAUAGUAACCUCCUCUGUCUCUCAGAGGACAGCUCAGGAACAGAGGAUGUAGCUUCUCUAACGUGCCUCUUUCCUAACUAGGACACAAGAACAAGCAUAAUCAUUAUGUUUAGCAGUGGCUGACAGUAUUGAUGCUUGUGGCUGCACUGCAGUUAUCUUUAGAACCUGUAGCAGAAAUGACCUACCUAAUUUCCCAGACAUCCUUUCCUUAAGGGCUGGGUAGAUCUGGAUGUCUCUGUGUGAAAAAUCAUGUGUAUUAUCUAAUUCUGCAGGUAGCUGAAGGGAGUAAAUUUAUACCUCCCAGUCUGCUGUCCUCUACAUACACUGAAUUAUGUUGACAGGAACUACUGAAAGCUACAAUGCGAUGCAGUUAUUGCUCAGCUUUAGAACUUAGCAAAAUGCUUUAGAACAGCAAGUGAAAUAUCUAGUUAAUAUUUUAGAGAAAAUGCUUACCUCAAAUAUAGUGUACUUAGAGAAUUAACUAACUUUGAUUUCAUUGUGAAAAAAAAAAAUGCUCUAACAUCUUUAAUAACCUCAGAGGUUGAGGACUUCAGUUUUACUGUGUCAAAAUGCUGACUGAGCCUUUCCUCAGGAUCAGUUCAAAAGCAAGAGCACAACUUGCUUUGAUCAGAGACAUCAUCCUAAUUAUUUUAUGCUUCUAGCAAAGUCUGCAUUGCCUUGAUAACUGCAAUUGGCAAAUUUACCCUUCCUUCCUCCAUCAUGCUACAAAAAAUACUUACUUUACACAUAUAAUUCAUGAGCUAUGAUAAAUGAUCUCCUACACUUUGUGGUCUUACCUCUGACUAAGAGACUAAGGUUUACAGUAUACUGAUAGAAAGAACUUCAUUGCUAUGUAUUCUGGAAGAAAGAAGAGAAAAGAAAAAACAGUUCUCCCUAUGUAUUAUGUACCUGGGUCAACCACCUCAGAUUUCUGAAAAUUGCAAAUUAUAUAUCUGUACUGUAACUGUUGAGUCCCAGCCUGAUCCACUGAUUGAGCACCUGGGGAAAGGACCCGGUCAGCCCUGGGAGCACAGGUGAAGGCAAUUCAGCUGUGCGACCAGAUGGGGUGGAGCCUGGCUGCACCUCUCUUAGACCCCAUUUAAGGGCUGACUGCCCUGAAAAAGAAUCUCUGGUUGGAAAUUCCUUCUUUGUGGGUUCUUUCUUGCGAACCUAGAAUUUCAGAGACAGCAAUUAUGUUUCUUGACUGUCCUGGGGAGCUCUAGAGCCUUCAGUGAGGAACAGGGAACAGAAGCUGCCUGGGGAAUCCUUUGACUGGUGAAUAUCUGCUGCUGCAGAGAGGAUCUCAAAUGUACACCACUCAUAAAUCCCAGGAUAAAAUCAAACAGGACUCUGGAGAUGCCAUGUUCUGCUACACUACAGUGCUUCAUAAAACUAUCUGAGAUGUGUCCGUGCUGAUUCUCAUGGUCUGCAAUUGGUGUCUUUCAACAAAACUGCUACCUACAUUGUCAUCUGGAGGAAACCCAGAGCAAUCACAACGAAAUACUUCUUAGAGGAAUAAAAGAGAAAGAGGUGGGAUGUAUAUAGCAAGCCAGACUGGAAGUAGAGUAAUAACAAAGUAUACAAGUGUGAUGUUUUGAAUAAGAUCUUCAGAUUCUCUAAUUCAUAAACACCUCCCAUGGCCUGCUCCCCAAGACAUAUGUCAGAUUUUAGAAAAUGAGGAGGUUUUUGCUAUAAAGCCUGCAGAAUCAGUGGCAAUUGUUUCAUAGUCACCCAAUCAACGCUGUUUCUACGGCCACUGGAAAUGGCCAAGAUAAACAAACACCGCUCACGCUGCUUCUUCUUGUGCUCCGCUACUGCAGAGGUGAACUCUCAGCCAGGAUGUAUGCUAAGUAAGGAAAAACAUUAGCUGUUAUUUUAAGAUGGAAUGGACAACUGAUACUGACAGAACCUCUUUUGGACUUCAGGCAUGUUGCACCUAACUGAUAGCUCAUCAGUGUUCUAUAAGGGACCUAAUACUGUGUGCUCAGCAAGGCUUGGUCAAAUAUUGGUAGCCAAGAGCCAGAUUUUCACUGAGAGAACUAAUGAACGGAUGUUUCACUGAAAGAAGUUGAAGCAGAAGUUAAACUGAGAAAGUGCUGCACGUCAAAUAUCAUCCUUUCUUGUACGAAAAAUAAUACCACUGGAUUUGACAGCUCUGCUCUGAACCAUCUCUUUCAUCAGUGCUCUGAAUGCUGGAUGGAACACUCAGCAAGUCCAAUACAAGAAAACCCCUGGGGGUUUUCUCAUCUGAGAUUGGAAAGCUGAAAGUUGCAAAAGAUGCAGUAGUGGCAGACCCACUACAGUUCUGAGGCUCUGUGCCCUUUGAUCCCAUUAUUAGAAGGAAUAUCCUCUCUCAGACAUGAAAGAUGAGGCAGAGGAACCUACAGCAGGCAAGGCAAGCUUCAGCCUAAAAAAUGCAGUGCGAAAGUGAGAAGCAAGAUUUUUCUAAGUACUCCGUCCCCAUGGGUAUCUCUGUGAUUGAAAGAAGACUUCAGUGAACUGAAGAGGCAUGACUCUGCUUCAGUGACAGAAUCUUUAGAAUAGCAGAUCAGAAUUUACAGCCAGGUCCCAGAAUCAAGUACAACUGCAGUGGUAAGCCAGGAUGAUUCGUGCUGCUGUGUAAUGAGAGAAAUCAUGCAUCUUUGGCUAUUCAUGGGCCUGAAAUACAGCCUCCUGCAGCUGAUAAGGUAUAAUGGCUUUCAGUGAGCUUCAGCACCUCUGAACUGAAUGCAGCGGAGACCCAACAUGACUGAAGUUUCCAAGUCCAACUGUAAGCAGGAACGCUUCACAGGGAAGGCAGCCCAGGUGUCAAGACCCAACAAGCACAAUGCUUCCAUCAGCUUUCCGGGAGCAUGACUGGUUGGAGAUCAUACAUGUUUGUCUGGGAAAGCUAAAGGUUUGAAGACAAAUGUCUUUUAAAAAGUAUGGAAACUCCAGAAUUUUGCCUAAUGUUAUUCUGCCCUAAUCCAGUUUAUUUGAAGUGCAGGUGGGAUUGGAAGCUUGUACUUGGUUACAAAUGUUCUUCUGCCUCUUACUUGCAUUUUUCCUUAUCAAUGCCUAACUUACUGUCCACUGUCGCAGUGCACUGAAGAUGCUGAAAAGGAGAAUGCCAAUAGGAAGCUUCACAGGAGGUGUUUGCUAUCAGUAGAGAGACUGAAAAAAGGGGAGUACGAGUAUGUAGAUGGAAACAUAAAGUGAGAUUUAGUUGUGGAUGAGUAAAUAAAAAUACACUAAAAGCUGGCAAAAUGAGGCUCGCAGGACAGCUCCCCUUCUCCCAGACACAUUUCAUCUCAGAUACAGAUUCAAAACUGUACCCAGGAUGACAGUUGCAGACUUCACUGGUACCCCCACAGCAUCUUCAAUGCAGGUUGAUGCCAGUGGUGACAGCCCAGAGCUCGGCGCAAGCUUUUUCAGACACUUUCUUGGAUAUCCUUUUUUCUUCAAGACAAACGAAUGGAGAAAAACAGAAAACUCCAGACUGUCACUGCAUUCACCAGGCUGGACUCUCAUCCAAGAUGUCAUUUCUCUCGAGCUGCUUGUUGGUGUACGGGAACUGUUGAAUCACGGCCUGAACCUCUGAUUGAUCACCUGAGGUGAGCACCGAGUCAGUCACGGGUUUAGGAGUUUUCUUGUGAGCCUACAACACCGAAAUGAAACAGAAAAGGCCUGCUGUAGGCGUACAAAAAUACGUUCAAGGAUUUCUAGAGGAUAGAGAACCUCUCUGAAGCCUUCAAGACAAUACGUCUGAGUGCAUCACAACAUAAAAUCUAUCGAUCUAUCACCCAUCUGCUCCUGCUAAUAUCCCACUGAAAAUGAAGAAUAUAUUCAGCUGCUUCUUCUAUACAAUGUGACACAGCGACACUUGCAUGAAAAGUGGGUUCAACUCAGAGACCUGCCAGUGGCCACCGUCUGGAGCACGAGGAGACACCUGCAGUGCCUUUAAAGCUUACUCAUCAAAUUGCACAGACAUCCUCCUGACAUAAGGGGCACGACAUGAGGGGUGGGCACUCACACAGCCUGCCCUGUGCCGUGCUGCCCUCCUGUGCCGUGCUGCCCUCCCGGGAGCCCGCUGCCUGCAGAGGGAGGAAAGGCCCUGAGGCAUUGCUCUAGCCAAACCUCCCCACUCAAUUCUCUCAGGUAUGGCGGCUGUUUAAAAGUGAAUGGCAGUAAUUAGUACUUCCUAACUGCUCUCAUUUUCCUCAACUGUCAUGUCCAGAUUUGCUGUUUUCAGCUCAGACACGCUGGCAAAAGGGACGCUUAUGGAAGGUCAGCGCCAAGUCCAAAUCUCUUCAGGCUGCCAGUUGUUUUGCUUGGAGGCUCAUCUCUACCCUGGCCUAGCAGAAGAAUGAAAACCUGACAAAUCUGAUUAGUCUUUCUUCAGCCCUCAAGUAUGUUACUUUUCCUGCUAUAAAAAUGGAAACUUGAGGCUCUGGUUGUGCAAAAAUUACUUUAGAAAGGAAACGGCGACUUGAGCUGUGUCAGCAGCACUGCCAGUCAGGCGGAGGAGCCAAGCCGUGGACACCCAGGCCUGUGCUGGAGCUUGGUGUGUGGUGCCUGCUGACUGCGGUGCUGGUGGCCUGGUGGGACCAGGUGGGAGCUGGGCUGACCUGGGAAGCCCCUGUGGGAAUUUAGACUACUGCUGUGUCGGGCAGUCUCUGGCACAGGCACACAAGUGCCAGCAGAAGCGGGGCUCUCCAGACAGGUUUUCAUUUCUAAGACACUGGAUGCAGAAGCAUUUGGAAAAUAGUGAAAAAGCAGGAUCUUAUCUGCCGAUUUUCAUUAGUAAAGAUUAAAAGCUGGUUUAGGUUAGCCUAAUUACUUACUUAUAUAGCAUUAUACAUUUCCAAGUCCAUACAAGAAGCACAGUGUCAGCUGCUUUGCCUGAGCUACUGCGUUUGGUGUUUGGAGACCACCCACAUCCUUUGGUUAAUAUGAUGGGAGUUUGCUGGGCACGUGGCCGCUAGGCUAUCAACUCAGAGGCGGGAUUUAUAUGAAGAGAUAUAUGAGAAAUGCUUUCUAAAUUAGCAGUGGGUUUAUUAUUCGGCAGGAAUACCCUGGCCGUGGAUCUUUAACAAGAAUUGAGCUGUGGUUUUGUUCUACGUUUGUACAGAAAUAUGAUGCGCAUAAUUAUAUAAUGGCAGCAGCAGACAGCUUUUUGUCCACCAGAGGAUGCACACCUGGAGCACACCUUCACAAGAGCACUGCUAGCUAUCCAUGCCCUUUAAGACAUUUGUGUCUGCCGUUGACACUGUACUCUGCCACAGUCCUGGCUCCAGCUGAGCUACAGCCUCCACCUCAGUCUUUAUUCACAUGAUGGAGGUACAGCAUAUUCGAUAUGUCCUAUGAAUUUACUGCCGUGAAACUGCAGUCUUAUCAAGUUUUCUUUUCCUUUAUUUCACUCUGUCUUUAAAAAAAGAAAUGGUUUUAAAAUCUCUUGAUUUUCAAUGUCAAAUCAUUUUUUUUAUAUGUUACAUUGCUGCUUGUUCCUCUUAUGUACAGCUCACAUCUGAGACAAGCCAUAAGUCAUACUACUUGAUUUCACCUCUCCUUAUGGAUACAGCGGUGACAGAUUUCUUUAAAAUGUAAUUUGAGUCCAAAAACUUUUGACUGAGGAGGAUUUAAAACCAAACAACCAAACAAAAAAACAAAAACAGAGAUAUUUCAUCUCUGUUGCCUAAUAUCUCUGCUUAGCCUGAGAUAACUUUGAUCCCAAUUCUUUCAGUUCUUUACUGGACAAAAGCUGAGACGGACUUGGUUCUACUGCUUUUGAUGUUUAUUUGAUGAGAGACUACUUUCUUGACAUAGCUACAUGGAGCUUUAAGAAACACUUCAAAUUAUCAUCAGAAAGCUACUUUUUGGUUUUCUCUAAUUUAAAGAACAAGUGACCCAUAUUUCACGUCUGUCAUUGUCAUAAAAUAAAAGCAGAGUGGAAAAGUUCCAUAAAUUGAACUCCCCGCACAUGGCAUCUUGGCAUCUCCCGAAGAAACUGUAAGGAGCCAGUGUUUCCUGAUUUUUUCUAGUAUUGAAGAAAAAAAUGAAAUGAAUUAUGCAAGUUUCCACCCAUUCUGGCUGAUAACUGAUACUGAAAAAAAAAGAGAAUUUAUCCCCCCCACUCCCCCCCCAAAAAAGCACAAAUACCUAAGGAAAGGAAAAGAAGGAAAGUAAGAAGGAAAGAAAGAAAGGAAGAAAAAAAUAUAUGUUGAACCAUUAAAUAGAUCAGCUUUAGCUGAGUACUUAGUACCCAAAGUGCAAACAGCUUAUACUUCUGUUACUGUCACUAGCUGCCAUUGGAAAAGUCUACCCUUAACCAUCUCCCUCAAGCAAGAAAAAAAAAAGUGGUUUUUUUUUAUUUUGUUUUAGGUUUGUUUCUCUGUUUGUUUUGUUUUUACUAUUCAACUACUUAAUUAUUUAUCUUCCAUUUACUUUUUAUUUCCAGUAUAAAUUAAAUUCCCUGCAGUAGAUCCAGGGAAUAGCUGACAUCUUUAAACAAACAACAAAAAGCACACUAGUCUGCAAGAGCUGAUUUCUUUUGUUUCCAUUUGUGGAGCAGGCAAAUUAUACACUGCAGUUUGAACAAAUCUAUUCAUGUGAUUUCAUCAAAGAUCUUCAUUUGUGGUGGUAAGUUCCACCACACCACUUGAUAUGAGACAUUUCUGGCUCCCAGAGGGUGAAGGAGAUGACAUUUUUGUAAGAGGGGCUGGCUACAUGCACGCUUGUUCUCGCACUGGCAAAAAACUAGUAAAUGCCAAACUCACAGGGUUUGAGAUUGUAUAUAUGUACAUAUAUAUAUAUUAACCACAGACUUGUUUCUUCUCUGAAGGAAUCAAAAAGAAGCUUGCUGGAAGCAUUUUUCCACUCAUUUGUGUUAUGUUUUAUAGGUCACAGAGGCUAACUUUAUAGGUUCCACUUACCCUCAGUCAGCAAGAUUUGUUCCAUAAGAAAAGUGACACUGUGCCCUUGUCUAAAUACACAUUCAGUAAAAAGACUUUUUGCAGGCAAAGUUUAAAAUUGCACAAGAAAUCUGAUUAAGAGAUUUAUCCAACACUCAGACUCAAGACCGAAGCACAGUGAGUUGUAGGAGCGUUGCAGGAGAAUGGAUGGAACCUUCAUUUCAGAAGCGAGUUGCCUUCGUGGGGUGAAGGACAUCCUGUGGUUACAGGGAUUCUGUCUCUAUAUCAACAUAGCCUAGGAAGUGUCUCCUUAAGAAGCCCCUACAGCUGCUCCAGAGCCAACAGACUCGAUGGCUGCGUCAGCAACAUGGUGGUCCUGCUCGGUCCUUAGGUGCAGAUAUUUAAUAUUAAAUAUAGACUUGAUGAGUGUUGUCAAGCCCCUAGAACCAGCAAAGCCAAAUCUCUUCAAGGAAAGCCUUGAGGGAGCACCAGGGUAGGGAAGGUUGUAGGAAAAUGAAUUGCCCUCAAGGAAAUGUGUGAGGGAGCUCCAAGCACUCCGUAACACAGAGAGGAAGUCAUUAGAUGCCAUUAGAUGCCAGCAGAUCCCGUCAGCCCAAGGUGCUCUUUCAGUCACCUCUCCAUGAAACAAGAACAUAGAAUGUGGGGAAAAGUUAGUGUUUGAAGCACGCUGUGUUUCUUUUUAAAAAAUAUUUCUUAGAUAGCACUGUUUAUACACCUGAAUUUUUUUAUCCUUAUGUACAGGGUUUUACUGCCACAAGAGCGGAUUUUCAACAUAAGUAUUUUUUCAUUAAUUGUUGUGAGAUAAAGGAUAACAUGUUUUUCAAUAGAUAGCUCUUUUUUUUUUCUCUGAGUAUUACUUUAGAUUAGUGGCAGCCUAAUUGCUGCUGUUUGUCAGAAAGCUAAUUUGAUCAAUCCCAGAGAAGGCAGAUCCAUGGCCAUCCAUUGCUGGAUAUUGAAAAUGCUGGUUUGAAGAGGUUAUAAAUCCAUGUUAUGUGAUCAAGCUGAAGGUUCAAGGAAUAGCCACGCUGAAAAAUAAGUGGUUAUAUUCGUGCUACAGUCUUGAGAUCAUUUCUAAGCUGGUCCCUCUAGAGUCUGACUUAAGAGCUGCUUAUAACCUUAUGAAAUUUGAUAAAGCAAUCAUACAGAUCUCUAAAUUUUCUAAUGUUAAGAGAUAAAUGUGUAGAUUGACAGAGAAAGUUUAAAAAAAAAUCAGAGAAAGUUAUUUUUUCUGGGUCUUUUCUGGGAGAUGUAAAAAUGUGAACUUCCCUCUAAUUAGACAUUCUAGGAGAGCUUUUAACCCAUUUGCUUCCCACUGUUAGAAACUUCUCAGGACCCCUGACAUUCUCUAUAUCUUACUCCGAGAAAAUAAUUGUGUGUGGCCUGUGUUAAAGAUCACAUGUUCUGAUAAUAUACUUUCUCAUUAACGUCUUCAGGAAUAUCCUUUUGUAUCCAAGACUCAAGUAUAUGCACAUCUGCACAGCUUUGCAAAAGCUGUAGGAAGGAAGCAUCCGUGUUUGGACAGAGCUGUUAGCUGGCUUGCCUGUCACACAGCUCAAGUAGCAGGUUCUCUGCAUGCAGUGCUAACUUCCAUGUCAAAGUGUUAAUUAAUCGUAAUGCAAAGGUCACCUCCCUACAACUGGAAUUUCUCCCCUGUGCAGAAAAGCAGAGAGAAUCAGUGAUGCAGAAGAGCAUACUAAAAUCGCCAUAAAUACAAGAAGCAGGCUUGUCUAUUCCCCGAGUUUCUCACAAAAAAAUAGGAUGAACACUUUGCAUGCUGGAGUACAAGUUCUCACAGAUUACAUGCACAGACAGAUCCUGCUGAAGAAUGAGAAUCUCUGUGUACUUCAUAAAAAUUUACUGAUUUGUAUUUCCUAUAAAGUUUGUAAAUGGGUAACAAAGUGGAAAAAGGAAUGUGAUAGAGCCAUUUCAACUCCUCCUGGGAAGAAACACACAAAACAAUGUACAACUCCUGCAUUCACAGCCUCGCUGAGAAUAAUACUUGCAGGAGAGCAGGGCAUGGAAAAUGGUAGCUUUGGGGAAUACGAAGCUCGAGUUUUUGCUAUGGCUAUGGGGUCAGUUCCAGCUGCAGCAAUUUGUCUUUGGAUCUGCAUCCUCAUAUGGCUAUGCUUCACCUCAGUCAAAAAUUAAAUCCAGGAGGAUGCUAAGAGGUUAGCUCAGAAUGUAUUAAAAGUUAUGCAAGAAAGGUAAGUGUCCCUGGCCUCUUCUCCUGUGCAAGAGGGGCAGUAAAUCGGGUAGAAAAACAAUCAGAGCCCUGAAUUUGUUGAAAUAUGUGGCAGAGAAAGAGAAAACCCUUUGUGCUAGCCAUUUUCCUGCAUGGUGAGUCAGGGAAUUUAUGUGCCGUUAAGUGCUCGACAAAGACCGUCUCCGAGUAAAAACAUUACUCCUUCAAGCACUUGUGAACAGAGAGUCAGGAUCAGCCUACACAAUUAAGCUUUGCUUUCAGCAUCCAGUGUGCUAGACCGAUGCGCUCUUAUACGAUGAGGAAGGAACGUUAUCUACAAAGAAGGUUUAUAAGGAGUGAAUUAACUUUUCAUUAAGACAGAUCUAACUUUGAAAGCUAGAUUUUCUGACACGUGAUGAGAGCACUGUAUUAGCAUGGGAAUAUGCAUGUCUGCCACGCCUUACGGUUGUAUGACUGAGAUAAACACGUCCAGAAAAUCAUUCAUGCUCUUGGUCAGCACUCGAGUGAUAUGCGAGGACACUCCAUGGUCUAGAGUUAGUCAAGUUAUACAGUCAUUUGGAGAGUUUAGUUUAGUUAUACUCCUUUGAGCAAGUCAGAGCCCCUACUUGCGCAGAGCUGCUUCUCUGAAUUUUGUGUGAGAGGACAAAAGCAAACAUAAUUCCCCGUGCACAGGAGCAGCUGGAAGAGUGCUUGGAUUUACCCACGGGACCGUGCCCGAUACGUCUCAGUGUUCAUCAGACACUCACAAUUUUUGCACCGGUGUUUACUUGUGCAACUCUUGUUAACUCUUGUCAACAACUUCCUUAUACAUCUGCUGUGGUGUGCGCUGGCUGUGCUACUAUAAAUCCUUGUACUGAAUGUAGCUCUAAAGCUACCAGAGUUUCACAGGUAUCAAUCCUCCAACAUAAUUUUUAGAAAUAUAAAAUUAGGCAGUAACGUUGUUAACUUGGAACUCAUGUAUUUUCAGCUCAAGAGCUUCCUAAAAAAACACAUGGCAGAAAAGCAAAACAAACAACAACAUAAAUUCCGAGUUCGGUGCAAUUUGCAGCAAUGAUAGUUGUUCCAGUCCUGUCUUACACGGCCAGAAAAUAUUUAGAAUUACUUAUAUGUACGUGUGAUCCACUCUGCCAGACAAAACCGUGAGCUACAUAAAGACAGAUGUGAAAGAGCUGUGUAUUCUGUCACUUUACUGGUAGAUUGUAUCAUACGGAGACCAGCUGGAGUCAGCGAAAUGGUUCAUGCAACUGUUCGUAUUUAUCUAGAAGUUUUCAACAUGUUCAUUGAAACAAUACUUCUUUUUUUUACUCAAGAAAAAAAGUGUGCAGAGAAAUAGAAAUUAUCGGAGCUAUUCUGUAGGAUGCUAUAGCGGUCAAGGCUUGUUGCCUUCGUUUCAGUUCCAUGUGGAGAUGGGUGGAGUGUAGCAGUCACCAGACAGACUAAAACAAAGCGCUUGGAGCUGGCAGCCAGACCGAUACGACACAGUAAAAGUUGGCAACAAAGCCUGUGAAUCAUUCCAGAAGUAAAAUGGUAGGGAUUUACGCUUUGGACAAAUAUUCCUCUGCAGUAAAAAUAUAUGAAUCUUCAUCAAGAAACAAAUCUAAAAGAGGAUUUUUUUUUUUUUAAAGGGCUUCAAAAUUAAAUACCUCUGUUGUCCAGUAACUCUGGAGUUUAUAAGAGAAGACCAUCCAUUCCAGAGACCAACAACACAACCUGUGCAGCUAGGCAGCGAGAUAGCAGUAGGAAAUGACUUCACAGGAGCUUAUCACAUCUGGUUUUAAAGCUAGUAGAUUUCUUACUUUUUUUCUUUUUUAGUACUGCAAUCUCUGUAUGUCCCACAAAACCUUUUUCUCUGGCAGGAUUUAUGGAUUAGAUGACUGCUUUUAAUUUAUAUGGUUUUUAAUCUAUUUAUGAGCAGGAAUUUAUAUGCUUACAUAAAUACACCUACAGUACAGUGUACGGGUGUUCCCGCAGCUUCCUAUCGCUUCUGUGAAUAGCAGUUUGGGUUAUAUCAGCAAUGAAGAAAACUUCAUCUUCCUAAAAGAUCGAUAUAAAUACUUAUUACAUAGACUCUCUUGAUUAAUUAUCAGAAACCAAAACCAAACCAGAACAGUAGUCCAUUAACUGAGCUACAUAGCUAUUUUUAAUUUUUGCUAAUAUAUAUAAUUGUUAUCUGGAUUUAAUUUUUGACCAUUUGUAAACAUCUUCUUACAUUCUGAAUAUGGAAUUCAUUGACAGAAAGGGUGGUUAAACACUGGAAUAGGCUGGAUUCCUCCUCACCGCCCAAAGUACUUUGAAAUGACCACGUGGCAGGAUCUAGAAGAAUACUAUGGGAUAUUUUCCGCUGAUGUUCAAAUAUUGCGCUGCAGAGAUUUCAGCGUAAUAAAAAAAUAGAUUAUCGUGAGAUGGUAGACAGGUAAUGUUAUGAUAAGUAGGCUCUUGAGUUGGGCCAAAAUCAAAACGACCCAAACUGAACGGUGCAAAGUGAAAGAUGAGGCAGAUCUCUUUGCACCCGAUCCCUUCGAGGCCUAGAUCUCUAUGUUUUGCCAUUGAAAGUCCCUCUGAUGAGGCACAGCGCAGAAAAACAAGCGUGUAAGCCAGACAUCAGUCUCAGCAAAGUAAUAAUAUAUAAUUAUCAAAGAUCACAAUGCAAUCUCUCAGGGUGAAACUACCCAAAAGGCAUCUUUACUUGCAUCCUCACCAGCUUCAUUGGUAGUCAGCAAGUGAAACUCGAUCUUAUAGCUCUUAAUAGAUUUCUAUAUAUUGGCAUUGAAAGAAAGGAUUUCACAGGCAUCGUAGCCUGCAGUCUGCUAGAGUCUAUCUUUUCCUAAAGGGAUAAAUUACAGAAAAGUAGUUUUUAAUAAACAGGAACAAAAGAUGUGAGAGUGAUUUGAAAUAUUAGCAAGUUAUUUCAUGUUUUAAUACAUUUUUUAAAUCUAGAUAUAAAAAUAACCUUGGGUAUUUAUAUACGUAGACAUAGUUCUGUCUGACAACAUUAUAGUUAUAAUGUCAGAAAAUCAGGGUUCAAAAGAGGAAAGUCUGAGCAACGCUCAGGAUUUAUUUUCAUCUAUAAAAAAGUUGUUGAAGUCCUGUUCAAUUUUUUUCUAUUUCUUUUUCCAAAGUCAACAUUAUCCUGACUUUUCUGGGUUUUUUUCUUUUUUCUUUUUCUUUUUUUUCCCCAAGUUUGUCCUUAGAUAGCCUCAACAGUAGUGAAAUGAGUCAGAAGAUCCAAUGUUUUCUUUUUUUUUAAAUAACAGUUGUUUCACAACCGUAUCAAAAACAGAAGUCUACUUUCCCUCUGCCUCUAUAAUACUGACGCCUUCAUUGGCAUGAAAAGAAUUGUUGAUAAAAUCACUACGAGUAACCCACCAAAAUCUAUCUGAAAGUUUGUAUGGGAACUGUUAGGUCACGGCCUGCAGUAGCGAUUGAGCACCUGGUGAAGAGGCGUGGCUAGCCCUUGGAGCACAGGUGCAGACAAUUCACCUGUGCAAUGGGACAGAUGCACCCUGGGUAAACCUCCUCCCUCAUUUAAGGGCUGGCAGCGGAGGGGGAAGCAUCUGUUUUUGGAGAUCAUCGUCUCUCUGGAAGUUUUUAGUGAGCCUUUCCUUUGGAAUAAGGUAAGUGUUCUUUUCUUAUUAUUGACCUAUGACUAGCACCUUUCAAGUGGCAUCAUGAAACUGGAUGGAAGCAAAUUAAUUUGUUUCCUUCUCUGCCACAAAGUCAGAUAACAAAAAUAGCUUCUAAAAGCACCGAUCAAAGAAAUGAUGACUUAAUUGUAUUUAAUAAAUAAAAACAGGAACUUGAAAAAACUACAAAACCAAUAGAUGGUAAAAAUAACAAGAGAAUUAAAAACAACUCAGUGAUACAUGAUGAAGGGAUGUACCUUAUGUCACGUUUUAAGUAAGAAGUGAGGACCCUCUUACUCUUCUACUUAACUAAGGCUAAAUAGAUUCGAAGUAAGUAUGAAUCUGAACAACGUAAUCAGAGAAAGGGAAUAUUGUAUUACUUCAGCAACUAAACUACAAGAAUACAAUAUUUAAAAGAAGUUAACAACUUAAAAAAUAGCUUUAUAUCCUUGACAUAAAUGAUAAGUGAAUGAAAAAGAAAAUUGGUUUAAAGGAUGAUUACUGUAAUCCUUUAAAAAAAAAAAAACACCAAGAUUAAUAACAAAUAAUAUAGUAGGAACUCAAAAGCAAAAGAAAAACUAGGAUAAAUGAUCAGCUAUUUCUGAUGGAGGAGGGGAAAAAAGGCCAUAGUAAAAUAUUUUGGUUGAUUCAAUACGAAUUGCACUUUGUAUUGAAUGAUUAAAACAUAAUUAUAAGUGGUAUCUGUGAUGUUUAAAGCGCCGAAAACUACUUAAUUUAAUAAAGCAAGCAAUGGAAAACUAAGGAAAGAGAGAAUGCUGUAAAAAAAAAAAAAAAAAAAAAAAAAAAAAAAAUUCAGCUUCAAUGAGGCAUUCAGUGAAGAAUAUAGAAGAAGGAAAAAAAAAAAAAAAAACCACUAAGUGUAAGUAGAUGCGGAUGUGUCCCGUUGCUCACAGGCCCUCCAGUGGAUGCACCCAAUUGCUAGGCACACCCUCAUGUAGAAGCACCCUGUUGCUGUUGAGACAGUCCUGUAGACCUUAUUAUGUUUCUGCCAGUUAUUGCAGUUAACACGCUUUGCUUCUUGCUGCUCAGUACUAUUGUAAAUUAGGCUUUAUUGCUACAUCCAAAUAACUGUUUUGAUAAUUUUAAAGCAAAUUCUCCCAAUGAAUAUUCUAAACUGUUACUAAUCUACCCAAAUUCUUGUCCUUUACUAGGGCCUUUUACAGUAUUUUCUGGAAAAUGUUUCAUUUAUAUGGUCAAUUAAAAUACCUUGCUUUAACCAUUAUUGCUUAUAUGUGAAAGACCCAAACCAGCCCUGCCCGAUGAGAACUAGAUUCAAAUGUACUAUCAAAUAAAAAAAAAAACACCACUAUAUUCUGUAUUUUCUUAUAUGACUUGAUGGAACAGUCUUGAAAGUAUUUGUGUGUUAGUGAUCCUUUAUACUGGAAAAUAUUAUACGAGCUGCAUCGUUGAACUUGUAUUUUGCUCCUGGAGGCAGCCCUUUCAAAACACAGCUGAGCAUCUCAGCCAGCACUCGGUGGCAAGGCUGGAAUUGCUUAUUUUGUGCAUGUACUUGAGUUCAAAUUUUCCAACACUGCUGGCAGCUAGUAGGAUUUUUCUUAAGAAAGAAAUGGAAGAGAAAUCCUUAUUUUGGUAUUCCAUCUAAAGGAAGAGUUUUCAAACAACCAGAAAAAGAGGCACAACUUCAUAGUCUUGGAAAUCUCUGUUUAUGGAGUUUGUAAGGGCUGAGGGGCUACAUAAGCAGGAUGCUGUUAGUUUGAACUAUUAUCAGUUUUAAAGGAUGCUGAGUUUGUGGAUUACUGGUAUUAAUAAUGUUUAGCCAAAAAGGAAACUGCAGCUUAUAGUCUUACAGCUCACUUAUUCAAUUAAAAAGUUUGGCCCCACAUUUGAUCCUGCAGCCAAGAACUGAUUUCUGGUCACUGUACCCUGUGGUUAGAGGAUAACACAGAUGCAAAUGCCAGCCCUGAGGCUAUGCUCCCUUAAGAAUGCAAAUACUUUCAUAUAAUAAGGUAAGGAAAAUACAUAAGAUUUCCAGGAAAGGAAAUCAGUGUAUGCUCCUUAUCAGCGCUGCUCCUAGCUAUACUGGCUCCUUGUUAGCGAUGCUUUUAAAAUGCAUUGAAUAGUUGAAGCACUUACUCCAGAAGAGACACUUGUGCUGAAAGGAUGAGUAGAAACAACAUAAACGGGUUUGAUUGUUUGUUUUAAUUAUCUGUGAAUCUCUAUUGCAGAUUUGUUGUCUGUCAUGGCAGAAAUACAGUGUUUAUAUCUUGGAAGGAGUAUCAAUUACUAACAAAGAUGGUGAAGAAAGAGCACAAUUGUCCAUGACAAAUUACACCACAAACAGUACCAUAAUCUGGCAUGCUGAAUUCUCAUACUUCAGAGCUCAAAGAGAAGAAGAAUACAUAAAUUCCGAAUCCGUGAUAGAAUCGUAGAAUGGCCUGGGUAUCAUCAUCUAAGUUCAAGCUGCGUGCAAGGUGACCGAUGACCAGGCUCCCCCUUCCAUCCUGGCCUUGAACACCUCCAGGACUGGGGCAUCCGCUAUCUCCUUGGGCAACCUGUUCCAGCAAAGUGUUUGUCAUCAUCCUACAACCCUCCAUAUCCGAUAUGCUUCAGCAUUAUGUGUGGUGCUCUCAUCAGCUUCGUUUGCCCUGAGUAUCAGACAGCUUUUGGUGCCAAAUUCUUCUCAUCUUGCUUCUCAGCCACUUCAAACCUGGCUUAUCUCCUACUUUGAUUCUCAACUCCUCCUCCAUGGAGCCUUCAUGGAGCAUUCAGCCUUCCUGAUAACCUGGUUCCAGGCUGUGAUCAGUAUGUACAGAGACUACAAGCUCUUGCUGAACAAAAACCUUCAUGCGACUACAUUUGCUACAUUACCAAGACUACUGGAAGUCACCUGCAUUAAUACACUCCUGUUGGUACAGAAAUCAAACAAUUCUUAGAUCAUCUCCGACGCAAAACGUGAGCUUCGCUUAUUGUGGAUCUCCUUCAACCUCAGCUGGGCGCUGGAUAUACUUUGUCUCCGGGAGUUUCUUUCUGUCCGCAUACUUAAGUUAUGUAUUUUAUCUAUUACUUCUCAUGUGUUAAGACAUUUAUUUCUAUAUUCCAGUGGCUUAUAUUACUCAAGAACUAUACGUGCUUCCUUGCUUCAUCCCCGAAUUAAAAGCAAAACAAACAAACAAAGAAAAAAACACAAAACUCACAGUGCAGUAAAGCACUCUACAACGAUGCAGUGAAAACCAGAUUUCUUACCUUAUCUGAACUUUCCUUCAGUUAAGAAUUUUGUUUCUUACCGAGUUCACUCAAAUUCUCUCACUUUACUGGAAGCUAAAUUUCAGAAAUAAGUUAUGAAAUGUUUCCACCCUCAAAUUUCAAAAACAAACAUUUUAAUGACAUCAAACUAUUUGAAUUCUAAGGGAAAGCCUUUAUUUUCUUCUUUAUGUGAAGCGGAACUGGAACAGCCCAUGAAAAAUAAAUGAAUUUCGAAAAAUGUCUACUAUGAAUUAUUUCUAAAAUAUUAAUAGACAAUGAUACAAUAUAGUUAAAACACAAUUACGGUAUAAAAAAAACAACACAAACCUCAGUAAACUUUUCAUUUUCCUGGCUCUACUUUCUUUAAACAGUAAAUUAAUUUUUAAAAAAUACUCCAACCGCUACUACGUAUUGAAACCCAUCCUGCAUUUUAGCUUCCCUGCCCAUAUCCGAGAAUAGGAAGUUUCAAUUUUAUAUUUUCAGAAAACCUACAUUAAAUCUGUUGAAAACCCUAUUUCUAACAUUCAUCUUUUGUUAAACUAUUAGGACAAAAUAACUUCCCGACCGUGGAGUUUUAAUGCUAGGCAUGAGCACCAUUUGGCACCAGUGCCAAGAUUGGAAAUCCAGACCUGUAUUUGAACACGUACGUUUUGUAUCUCACGCAUUUUUGUUGUCUUUGAGGAGAAGAGCAUUUCCGAAGAAAGCUUGCAGCUAGGAGGACUUUCUCAUCUUUCAUUUUAUUUUGAGAAUUAUUUUUAAAAGAAAGGUAAAUUUGUACAAAAUGAAAAAUAGACCUUCAGACUGCGGUAUUUUGACGACAUUCCUCAAGUGCCUCCUCAGGGCUCUGCUCAUAAAAUACUCCACGCAGAGAGUAGUUCCGAUGUCUUAGCAGUUUCAAAAUUUUCCUUUCCUCUGCAAUGUAAUCUCAAUUUAUUUAUUUAUUUAUUUUUGAAUAAGCUUCUGUUUCCCAGCAUUUGAAUGGCAUUGUAGCUUUGUAAUGUGUUUUUGUUCCUUUCAGACUAAAAGUAAAUAAGAACGGGACCAACUUGGCAAGAAUAAAACCAUGUAUUUGCUCGAGCAACAUUUCAAGAACACCUGCACAGCUAUUUUGGCAAUGCGCUGGUAGCUCUAUUCAGCCUUCCUCGUCUGUUAUCCACCUUCAGAUAUCGACUCUUUUAAUCAACAUCUCCGAGGAACAGUUCGUCAAUAACGGUAGCGUGGGCAAUACAAGAGUGGAGCGAAUCAACGUCCACCUUCACCCAAGACAGUACCUAAAUAAAUUUUAAAUAAACCAUUCCAACUGUUGGUUUCAAACUAAAGUAGUGUUUUCUAAAGGAAGAAAUCUGGGAAACAUACUUUAAAAAAAGGACACCGUAAAGAGAAGCUUAUUCAACUUGGUAAUAUUUUAAAUAAUUGAAACAAUUGCUUUCUACUGCAAAAAGAUGAAGCAUUUAAAAACGUUAAGAAAGAACAUCUCUCAAGUCUGAGAAAAACUUCUUCCCAGCACCAUCUGAAGCCGUUUUGACUAAUUCAACCUGACUGCAUCAGCAGGUCUUGAUCCUGCAACUGAGAAAGUUCAGUACUCAAAAACACCGAUCAAUAAUAUAUCUCAAUUCGUGUUGUGCAUAUUUUCCCCUUCGACGCUGUCUUUAAGCGUGUCUAUUUGGGUUCUUGUUUGGAAACGAUAUUACAUACUUAAAGCAUGAGUUUUUUUUCACUCAAUAAAUAACUUGCCAACUUACUUGAAAAUCCUCUCCUACUUUGUUGAGUGCAAUGUUGAUUGUGAACGUAGAAGAGUCAUGAUGAGGUCUGAGCGAUCGUUGUCUGUCAGGGCUAUAUUUUACAACAAAAUUCAAUAAAGCGUAUCCCUGAAACAAAAUAUACGGUCAGACUUCAACACGUGAACUUCGGUGUCACACGCAGGGCGGUGGGUUUUCUUUACUUAUUUACAACUCAGUUAAGAACGCAACGCUCAGCUGUAAUACUGCCACAUCACUCGUAAACUCACCAAACAAAGCAAACAGUUCAAUAAAAUGUGUAGAAUUAUUUAUUCCAUUCAGAGAUUAUAUGCAACUUUUAAACACGUACCUUGGUAUAAUAACCAGCAAACACUUUUAAUGUUACUGGUGCAAUGAAUUCUCUGAUGAAGUGCAGCCAUUCGUUAUCCAGUCCAAUUUGCUUCAUAUGGAUAUCAUCAGUCGGGACGUUUUCAUAACCGCCAGAAAUACGGCUGUCCUAACACAAACACCAUAAAUAGCUUUGAAAUAUGAGAGUGGACUGCUUCUGGCAGUUCUACAAAUAUGUAGAAUAUGCAGAAUCACAAAACUGCAGAGUAAUGCUUUAGUGGACGUAUCUGAGCUUGAUGCAAAAUAAUCUCACAGCCAACUGCUGUGAUGUAAAUUGCUGAGAUGUCGAUGGGCAAGAACCGGACAGUUCUUAGAAGGUUCAAAUGUUAUUUCAGAAGCAUUUGCAAUCAAGAUUUAUGGCGGGAAGGCAUUCCCCCUUGGAUAUUUUCUUAUUUUUAAUCUACGCUUUUGUCUGAAAGAGAGUCAAGUCGUUAGAAUGAUAAUGAUUGUUAAACACGUGCCUUGUUUUGGGCACCUAUCAAAUCAUAAAGUAGCUGCAGCAGGGAGAAUAAGGAGGGUCUGGCUUAGGAAAAACAGUCUAAAUGACACCGAUUUCACAAAAGCCCUACGUUUACCGAGGGGCCCUGGCUGACCUGCUUGCCAUUGGAGCUUUACUAGGACCGCUGAAUCAAUCUUAUCCGCUGGAACACAUCUUUAGCACACCUUGACCUCAGCAAUGAGAAACCUCCCCGGGAAAAUAAGCAGCCUAUGUCACUUGGAGCCAGUCAUAAAGAAACUGUCCCUGGUGCUAAUUUGUACCCUACAAGACUGAAGAGAAAGAUGGAGUGAUAUUUUGUGAGGAAUAAGGACAGAGGAGAAAGAUCUUCCUGUGGUAAAAUAACACUGUAUGUAAUAAGAACUAAUGAUUUAAAACAAAAAAUAAAGCAACACCUUUGGGGGUCUGAGCAUAUGGAAUGUUUCCGAAGAAGGGGAGUCUUUUUCCCUUUGUAAAGUCUAAAAUGAAGGAGAAUCAUCACAUCAGUUUUCUGAUACACAGUUUCUCUGUUUGUCCAAGAACUACCAGAUUUCCACAGUUACAAAAGGGAAAUAGCAGCCUUUGACAAAAGCUGAUACGCCUUUACAGACAACAUGCAUCUCCAAGCAAAGCUCACAAUGUACACGUCAAAGCUGUUUCCGCCAGCCCCUUCUUAUCUGCUGCAAUACAAAAACAAGCACGUACCGAACCAUCUUACAGCACAGACUGAGAAAGAAGAAAAAAAAAAAAAAAAAAAAAGGAGAAAGCCAUUUUUUCUGAUGAGCCACAGUCAGAUUAGUUGAACGAGCGCACGGGAAGCACAGGUUCGCAAUAACUGAUGCUGAGAAGGUUUGAAUACAACAGAAUUGGAUGGGAACAUUCUGAGGAAUCAGUACACACAAAAGAAAUCAUGCCUUGUUAUGAGGGAAUAAAAAAAAUAAUACUUGCCAACUUUUCUUGUUCAAUUCAGCAAUAUUAUUUUUCAAUGCUAUAGUGUCUGGAAAUAGGUCUGGUUUAGCUCUUAUUUGUUUCUGUGCUGAAACUAGUGUAAAUAUCAGCAGAAAUGUAGAUUUACAUAUUCAUAUUUUUACAGUACAAAUAAUCUUUCUCUCGUUACUUACAGCUCAAAGUAACAAAUUUCUGAUACAGUUUUAAUGUGACCUGGAAGAAUUAAGGAGUAAGUCCUGUACUCCAAGAAGAUUCCUACCAUUGCAUAAAUCACUCAGGUUUUUAUACCGGCGCUGUCCGUUAUUAUUUUAAAACUUAUACAUUACACUGCAGAAUGCUUCAACUUAAUCUGCUAAAAGUUUCUUAUUCUGUAAAAAUGUAAAAAAGGUAAAGAAAUUCUACGUGCAAUGAUAAAUUUCAAAUCACGCAU